GACCUGGUGGUGAAUGGUAUCACACCUACUUUACCUUAGCCAUGCCAAUGCUUGGUGGUGGGAAUCCCUGGUUCAAACCCGGGUUAGGUCA